UUUCCCUUCAAGAAUGUUUCUCCGUUCAAGACCAGGAAAGCAUUCCAGGUAGACAGCCUGCAUGCCAUCCAAACACAAGCGUCUUCCUGUUGAGCAUCAGGACCAAGAAUGCAAAGAAGAACACAAGAAGAGUAAAGAGACAAAAGUGACAAAAGCCUGGAGAGGAUGGGAGGCCCUGGGGAAAAGGACAGUUGCAGAGCUCCAGUUCUCUCAGCCUGUUCUUGUACAGGUGGUGUUCCAUCCCUUGGAUCAUUUUUGUGGUCCCAUUUCCUACUGCAAAAACUGCAAUAGGAGGUGGCAGCAGAGGAAGAGA
ensembl:lncRNA